CCCCGGUAAACGGCGGCCGUAACUAUAACGGUCCUAAGGUAGCGAAAUUCCUUGUCGGGUAAGUUCCGACCUGCACGAAUGGCGUAAUGAUGGCCAGGCUGUCUCCACCCGAGACUCAGUGAAAUUGAACUCGCUGUGAAGAUGCAGUGUACCCGCGGCAAGACGGAAAGACCCCGUGAACCUUUACUAUAGCUUGACACUGAACAUUGAGCCUUGAUGUGUAGGAUAGGUGGGAGGCUUUGAAGUGUGGACGCCAGUCUGCAUGGAGCCGACCUUGAAAUACCACCCUUUAAUGUUUGAUGUUCUAACGUGGACCCGUAAUCCGGGUUGCGGACAGUGUCUGGUGGGUAGUUUGACUGGGGCGGUCUCCUCCUAAAGAGUAACGGAGGAGCACGAAGGUUGGCUAAUCCUGGUCGGACAUCAGGAGGUUAGUGCAAUGGCAUAAGCCAGCUUGACUGCGAGCGUGACGGCGCGAGCAGGUGCGAAAGCAGGUCAUAGUGAUCCGGUGGUUCUGAAUGGAAGGGCCAUCGCUCAACGGAUAAAAGGUACUCCGGGGAUAACAGGCUGAUACCGCCCAAGAGUUCAUAUCGACGGCGGUGUUUGGCACCUCGAUGUCGGCUCAUCACAUCCUGGGGCUGAAGUAGGUCCCAAGGGUAUGGCUGUUCGCCAUUUAAAGUGGUACGCGAGCUGGGUUUAGAACGUCGU
rnacentral:rRNA from 1 species